GCAUACCUGCUCCCCAGCACCUGAGGCUGUUCUCAACCACAUUUGAAGGCACAGCUCUGCUAAAGUAUCUGCCUUGUGGAGUCGCUCUGACUGCAAACCCAUGAGUGGCCUCGAUGGCCUUACGUGCAUUUCGGAGAAGAGAGGUCCUGGGGCAAGAAUAAUGUCAGGACAGCACUCUAUCUGGCAAAUGAUGACCCUGCAUUCAGAGAAGAGAGAAAUCACUUGGGAUGGUAUGAGCUGCCAAGCAAAGCUUCGUGAGAAUUCACGGCAAAUCAUGGAAUAUUAGACCGAAAGGAGACAGCUGACAUUAUGCUAACUAAAAAGUCAAGUAUCUUUUUUUUGGGUUGGAGAGGGCUCUUGGACAGAGACAGGGAAGAUCACAUAUCUGGCUUAUUUUAUAAAGGAAAGCCCAUGGGGGUUCUGCAGAUAGUAACAGAACUGGGCCCAACCCCACGUCUCCUGGCUGUCAACUCCAUGCUUCUCCACUUUCCCAUUCGCUCCAGCUGGCCUGGGAGGAACAGCAGCUUUGGAAAAACACGAGUGUAGAGGUCGGGGGAUGGGGUUCAGGGAGAGGCAGAGAGAAGGCCAGAGCUCCCCGAACUUUUCUAACCAGAGGCAAAUGAAUGCCUCCCCAGCCUGAAGUAGCCACCUUUGAAAUCUCAUACCUGAUCUUUAAAAAUGUUGUGAAUUGUAUAUUCUCUGUCCCUUCCUUGGUAACUUUGGGCAGGUUAUUGAUACUUUGGGCCUCAAUUUCCACAUCUGUACAAUGGGAAGAGUCGUACUACGAGGUCUGUGUGAAAAGUACAUGAUCCGAUGUGUAUCAAGUGUCCCUGGUGCUUCGUAAGUGUUGGCUGCUGAGCUCUCCCUGGCUUGUGUGCGAACAGAACUUCCCUAAUGAAAUGGCCACUCACGAUAUGGUCCAUGGCUUUGCUUUGUCCAUCAGGGCAGUAUUAUUUGGUGUUUAGAAUCUAUGUUGCAACUUAUUUACUCCCUUUGGAAAGCGAUAUGCCAGCAACAGCUGAGUUUUGAAGAAUUCAUGACAUGUUACCUUAGAAUGAACACAGAGGAAUGCUGAGGCCCGGUAAAUGCACCAUGCAGUAGUUCACAAUCAGUUGAGACUCUUGGACGAAGGGCAAGCUUUCCUUUCCAGAGUUCCAGUCUAUUUUUGUCAGCAGGGAGAGGUGAUAUGGCUUAUUUUGUAAUAAUCCUUGUAAUCCUAUGAUGAUGUGCUUGUUCUAAAUCUACUAAUGAACCGGC